ACUGGAUGCUUCCACAUCCUGUGUUUUUGAGGCCUUUGCUGACGGUUGCUAUUUUGGAACACAGUUCACGUGUGAGCAGAGGAUUAACGGAGUACAUGUAACACCACACGUAAAACCACCAAUAGUAACGUGUGUAACAUGGAAAGUAACGUGGUGGCCUUCGGGGACCGUUGGGGUGAAUCUGGUGAACAUGCUAAGCGGACACAGGGGAGCAAUGGCUGGCGUUAGUUGCUGCUCGAUGAACUAAACUGCACCUGAUGCUGGAAGCUCGUUUUGUGGGAUUAUUCACGCUGAACAGCUUCUAUUGCGGUUGAAUUUACUUCCAUCAUCAGGGAUGGACUGGAACAAACCAGAGAUAAUAAAAGAUGUCGCUGGAGAUCCGGGUCUGACAGCAGACUGGGAGGCUCCUAAGUCAGAGAAGGGAAGAUCCAGUUCGUGCAAGGUUCCAGAGCAUAAGACUUCUAAUGGUUCCUGUUCUCAGAGGUCCAUCUCUCGAUCCCUGCAAAGAGCUGAGACUCUGCUCAAAAGCACCUUUAAUCCAAAUCUCAAGUGGCUGUUUCACAGUCGCAGUCAAGAUGAGGACAUGAAAGAAGAAAACUUUGUGGUUGCUCCCAACCUUGUGUCCCGGUCUUCUGCUCGUCUCCUCCAUCUGCAACACGCUCUUCUGACAGUGGCUUCUCAGUGGCAGCAUGUCAGUGGCUCUCGGGUGUGUGUUAAAGGCCUCCAGACAGAGAGUGGGGUUCCCUACCUGCCCCUCUCCUCAUUGCUACAGGACCACUACACAUCCUUGUGGAAGCUCCUGGAACAGCGAUCUCUGUUACUCUUCAUACAUGAAUACAUUAGGAGAGUCAGCCUCACAAAGUACUUUCUGUCCAGAGUGAGCCACCUGCUGGACGAGCAGCUGAGCAUCUCGCAUCUUAAACAGGUCCUAUCCAGCUGGUCCUCAAACAAGGUGAGUCUUGGCUCACUGAGUCAGGAGCUCCGUGUUCAUCUCAACCACUGGUCUUUCUUGUUCUCCAAAGUUCAGUCUGACUCCUCCCUGAGACGUGCUCUGGUCCAGAAGACCUGGCUGCUGCUAGAAAUCAAACGGACUCUGGACCUCCUUGGUCUGCAAGCCAUGAUUUUGAUGGAACAGUAUACAUAUUCCACUCUGUCUGCUAUGGCCCAAACGGAGUUAUACUCUGUACCAACAGAGGUCCUGGAGGAUAUUGUGGCUGGUGUGGACAUGUACAACCAGGCAGUGGAGGAGCAGAGGGCGCAGCACUGCACCACCCAGCUGAGGUCUGCAGUGCUGCACCAGGCACAGUGGAACAGAAAGGAUUCUAGUCUUCCAACCUGCAGAGGGUGUCACCCUGCUCCCCUCUCAGUUGUGGAGCUGAGUGUGAUUUUAGCAGCGCAUCAUGCAGAAAUGGCAGCCAAGCAGCUGCACCGCUGGACGUUUAAACAGGCCCAAAAACUGUGUCUUUUUCACAACAUCCAGACUAGCUGUUCAUGUUUUGAUAAGUCCACAAAUAACUGUGGGUCCUCUGCACUGAGAUCUGAGACAUGGGGACAGCUGCAGCACACAGGCCUUCCUUCCUCCUGUCUCUUAGCCAAUGUAAUUCAUCAUACUCGGUAUAAAGCUCCUCAUUGCAUAUCUUGCCUUUAUUUACACAGUACUGUUGUGGAAAACCAACAUUCUGUUUUAGACAAGUUCUCUGAAAGAACUUGCAAGAACCAAACGAGCCAGUGGCAAACAUUCAUUGUGUCAUGUGGUGUGACCCAGAACAGUGAGAAUUCUUUAGAUAAAGUCCAUCCAACCCUGGAAACAGAAACUGAUUUAGGAAACUUUACCUUUUCCAACCCUUCUACUACCUCCCAGCAGCACUCAGCGCUGCUCUUCUCAGAUGUCUGCCAGCAGGACUGUUCCUCAGCAAAGAUACUCUUUCAGAUGCUUGUUUCCUUCAGUGACCUGAUGGCGCCUCUGGUGUCACAUACACCCACACCAGAGGCUCCACCUAAACACGUGAGGAUGAAUUCCAUGAUACACUCAUUAUCCCCGUGUGCAAAGAAUGAGUUGGCAAGUUCAGCAGCUGCAGUGAUCAACGUAGCCGAUCCAGUGGAGGUGAUAGACUUCAGCAGUGUGGAUGGAGCUCAGCAGAAAUGUGUUGAACUGGAGAAACCAACUGGGCCACAAGCAUCUGACAGGGAUGGAGACCCAGUAAAGGAGAAGACUGAGCCAGACGAUGGUGGAACCAAACACUGCAGUGUUCCCUCACUGCAGUGGCUGGACCUCGGCCACUUGCAGAUUUGUGACAGUCUGCUGGGACAAUACUACAGCCUGAUUCAGACCUUCAACAGUAAAACCCUGUGGCUGCAGCUGCAUGUACCACAUGCAGGAAACAAUCGAGAAAGCAUCAUACUUCAAGACAGCCACAGUGUGUCCCAGGUUCUCCUCCAGAUCCGUCACGCUUUGGAGACCGAUCUGGUUCCAAAGAACUGUAGAUCUUUGCUGGAGGACUUCAGUCAGCAUCUUUUAGUCCAUGCAGCACAUACUCAGUGGGACUAUGAGAUGUGCAGAGGUUUGGGCUCAGCUCUGAAAGAUAAGUGUGUCACAGAUGUCAGCCAGAGCAUCCAGUCGUUGUUGUUGUUACCUAAGCGAGAUGUGGAAGUGGCGGCGUCCGCAACCAUGGAGUGCUUCCUGCUGCUGAUUCCUCCUCUGCUGUCGUCUCUGCACUGCCAUCAGUCACACAGCAGGGCCUUGGGUUCUGUUAGCUCUGCCUCCUCAAGAGCUGCUCUCCAGAGACAGACUAUGAGUCUGGUGUUAGCUACAGUGCAGCUGUCCACAGUCUGGGUCAUGUCUAAGGCUUUCAGGUUCCUCUCCUCGUGGAGCCUCAACAAGUUCCUGCUCAUCACACAGGGAGAUGUCAAAGUUCUAAAGGAUUCAUUAGAGGUGGUGGUGCGUCACACCAAGUCCCUGUCAAUGAGUUCGAACAGUGGGCAUCAUUCAGCUCUUCAUAAUCACAGCCAGCUACAGCUAACGCAACAGUUGGAAGCACUGGACCGGGCCGUGUGUGAGCUGCAGACCUUCUCCUCCCUGGUGUUGAAGACCUUCUUCAGCGACUGUAAGAGGAUGUCAGGGGAGAUCUUUGAACAGACCAUGCCCUCUGCUGUACACUGGAGACCCAGCCACAUAACAGGUUUGCCCAUCAGUCCCAGUGAGUAUGCAUCCCUGGCAGUGCAGACUGUGAUUGGCCAAGUCCUGGAGAGCGUGGCACCAUUGUCUGAUGACGCCCGCGUCCAAGCUCUGAGUAUAACCACCACAGCAUUUAUGGAAGCGUGGAUGGAACAUAUCCUGAAACAGAAGAUCAAAUUCAGUGUGCAAGGAGCCCUGCAGCUGCAGCAGGACUUUGAUUUCAUUAGACAUAUGAUCCAGUCGGACAAGUAUGGCCUGUCAGCAGACCUUCACCAGCAGCUACUCAGCCUUCGGGUUUUCCAGCAAGUGGACGCUGCAGUUGUGUGUCUGCUGCAGCAGCCACAGGCCAAACCCUACCUGCAGUCCAGAGCCUGGGAACCUUUCACACGCUGUUGUCCAUCUGGUCCCAACAGAGGCAGCAUAAAUGCAGCAGAGGGAAGCAGUAUAACCAACUUGAGAUUUAUGGAGGGGGAAGACCUUUCCCAGACUGACGCCUCAGUUAUCCCAUCCAUCACUGGAGAGCCCUACCUCGCUCCAAGCUCUGGGUGCAGCUCAGCAGGAGUGGUUGAACCUGAGGAUCCAAAAUAAUGCUCGUCAUUGGAGGCUGCCGGGUCUUCGAUGUCUGUCCAAGUCCAACCCAUAGACAAACACAUGCACACAAUCACAACAUGCGGGGUCACGGGGGUGCUGGAGCCUAUCCCAGCUGGCUACGGGCGAGAGGCAGGGUACACUCUGGACAGGUCGCCAGUCCAUCGCAGGGCAACACAUAGACAGACAACCAUUCACUCACACACUCACACCUACGGGCAAUGGAGAGAAGCCAAUCAACUUUUGGACUCAAAUCUUUGGACUGUGGGAGGAAGCCGGAGAACCUGGAGAGAACCCACGCAAACACGGGGAGAACGUGCAAACUCCACACAGAAAGGGAAUCGAACCCAGAACCUUCUUGCUGUGAGGCGACAGUGCUACCCACCACACCACCCAUUUAGAAAUAUAUAUUUUUUAAUUGUAUCAGUUCCUAUGAAAAUUCUAACUUUGCUAGUUUUAUAUUACUUAAUAAAUUAGCGUGUUAAUAUAUAUUUUGCAUUCAUGAGCAGGUUUGUAAAAGAAAUAUGCUAACUACAGUAUAACCCUAAAAGCUGUAAGGUUGAAUUACACUGUGCUGGGGGGCAUCUGCAAGGCUACUGUUGGUAAUUGUUAAGUAAAUGUUGUCAGAUGAAGAAGAGAAGGAAGAAAGGCAAAUAAAUAGACAAAGGGAACAGAAAACAACUAAAGCAGCAUGUCCUGAAGAUAAUAAAGAGAAUGUUUUUUCCAGAAGAAUUGCUUCAAUUUUUUUUUUUCAGUAUUCGAUUUAGCUGUUUGAGACAAUAGUUAGGAAUAAGGUAAUGUAACAGAUUUGAUGUGACAGUUUUUAGUUGAAGAAAAGCUGUAUACAAGUUAUAAGCUGUCUGAAAUCAGGGAAUCAGCAACUGUAGCUAUAACAAAUCAAUA